AAGAAGAAGACGUAGCAGCUAAGCUAGCUGUUUCCUUACAUGCAGGUUACUAUUAGUUGCAAUUUCUUGUCAACAUGGAACUUCUUGAAAAUGGCCAAUAUUUUUUCAACACGUCCGACAGUCCACUAUUUUAGCGAAAAUACUCGCUGUAGCGCUUCUUGUCUCCCGCCACCUGCAGCAGAUACUCGGCCAGCUCUUUUACCGAUGCAAAUUGGUCGACGUGGAUGAAAGAAUGAGGCGGAGCCAAGGCCUCGUAAUCCUGCACUGGUGCACCCAGGACAACAGGAACUGCCCCCGACAGUUGCUGACCACCCAACACGCCAGAAAGCUUUUAUUCUGUGUGAUGUCCUGCACUGGAUCUUCUCCUUCAGCCUCGUUCACCAGCCGCUCUCCAUAAGGUCUCCAUUGUGAACAGGGGACUCUAGGGACAACCAAGCCCACCUCUGGCCUGGUGGCCUGGGAAGAUCCAGAGGAAGUUUCUCCCGUCCUGUGACCAAUUCGUAGUUGUGGAACACCACCACGUCCGCGGUGGGAAAC